GGCCAUAGCUCAGUGGUAGAGCAACUGCUUUGGUCCCGGGUUCGAUCCCUGGCAUCUCUCUGUGGGGCCG